rnacentral:rRNA from 1 species
GCUGGCAGCUAGCUCUCUGCAAAUCUCACAUUGUUACCCAGUAAGGCUAAGCAGUGCUGUGCCAGUUCAGUACCUGAAUGGCAGACCACAUAGGAAAGCUAUGUUGCUGCCGGAA